UACGAAGGGGGCUAGCGUUGCUCGGAAUCACUGGGCGUAAAGGGUGCGUAGGCGGGUCUUUAAGUCAGGGGUGAAAUCCUGGAGCUCAACUCCAGAACUGCCUUUGAUACUGAAGAUCUUGAGUUCGGGAGAGGUGAGUGGAACUGCGAGUGUAGAGGUGAAAUUCGUAGAUAUUCGCAAGAACACCAGUGGCGAAGGCGGCUCACUGGCCCGAUACUGACGCUCAGGCGCGAAAGCGUGGGGAGCAAACAGG
rnacentral:rRNA from 1 species